GCCUUCUCAGUUUACAGCUAAGUCUGAACCGGAUAUGGAUGCUGCGGCAUCGGGUGCUAAUGUUACUGUAAAUGCCGGCAUCCCUGGCCAGGUUCCAUAUGUGCAGGCUAAGAUGAGGGGAAGGGUGGUUAAUGAUUUGGUGAAGAAUAUCCCGGUGUUGUCCGGUACUGACCCCGAGACCGUGCUGCAGUUCCUCAUUCGGGCCCAGGAGGUCUAUGACCUGAACCUGGUAGGCGAUUUGGAAUUUCUGGCACUCUUGGUGGGUAGGACUUCCGGUAGGGUCACUCAGAUACUUUAUACUAAACAUCAUAUCCUUCCCAUCCACGUGGACUAGGCCUACUGGGGAUACCACGUAAAAAAAAAACGACGCACGGUCGAGCCGCAAGGCGCGUUGGAAUCGAAUUUCGAAGGAGUAGAGUCAAGGUAUGGAAGGAUAACCAAGUAUAAAAUGUUAGUUAGGAGAGGAUAGGCCAAGUAUAAAACGGCGGGUGGGAUGUGUAACCGUUCCACUGCCAAGAAGCCUACUUGUAAUUUCAAUGUAAUUUAAUUUAUUAAUUUAGUGUUUGAUUGUUGAAUGCAAAGAACAAGUAUGGAGACAUAGGUCUGUUCUUACAUGUAGAGGAGUUAGCGUCCUUCUCAUACAUGAACAAUAGGCCAGGAAGAGGCUUGUAAACCUUUAGAAAUAUUACGCGAAAAAGUAACUGCAAGAAAUCUUUUAGUUAAGGCAAUAAAAUUUUACUGGUACAAGCUAUAACUUUGGAAAGCGAGAUGUUAAAUAGCCCAAGCAACGCUUCGCAAUCUAUCAAAUUCUGACAGGAUACCGUUAGAAGUCAGAAUGCCAAGAAGCCUUGCAAUGAGGAAAAAGAUUGGCGGAAUACGUAAUUCGGAUGCUCCAGAUUUUUAAA